rnacentral:lncRNA from 1 species
AUGCGCACAGCAAUUUGGACAGCAAUUUGAUCUUGAAGAAUGUCCACGGGAAGAUGAUGACUAAGCAAUGCCUAAUCAGUGACUCUGUCCUGUGUUCUCAUGUCAUGGCAACAGACAGUCAACCUGGCAUGAAAGGUUCUCAUGCCAGCUCAGAAAGACAGAGCAUACAGACUCUUAGAGGGACACGAAAGCUGGAUCAUUCGUCAACUUACUCAUGGGCAUAAGCACACCGAUAAACUGAAACGCACAGGAGUAGAGACACUGUGGAAGACUAGCUGAGAUCUCUUCUGGACAGGAAUAAUUUGCAAAUGGAGUUCCACACCUGGAACCUUCCUAGACUACUGAAAUGAGCUUGGAUGGAGCUGUUCUUCAAAAAAGGAUCUGAAGCUGAAAAUAGUUCCCAAAUANAUUACGCAGAUUUCUGCCUGAGAUGGCUUGCUAGGAACAUAUUUCAACCAUUUCAAGAGAGCUACAUCAGGUACUGGUUCAUUUUCAAGUCG